rnacentral:rRNA from 1 species
AACGCUAGCUACAGGCUUAACACAUGCAAGUCGAGGGGCAGCAUGGUCUUAGCUUGCUAAGGCCGAUGGCGACCGGCGCACGGGUGAGUAACACGUAUCCAACCUGCUGUCUACUCUUGGACAGCCUUCUGAAAGGAAGAUUAAUACAAGAUGGCAUCAUGAGUCCGCAUGUUCACAUGAUUAAAGGUAUUCCGGUAGACGAUGGGGAUGCGUUCCAUUAGAUAGUAGGCGGGGUAACGGCCCACCUAGUCUUCGAUGGAUAGGGGUUCUGAGAGGAAGGUCCCCCACAUUGGAACUGAGACACGGUCCAAACUCCUACGGGAGGCAGCAGUGAGGAAUAUUGGUCAAUGGGCGAGAGCCUGAACCAGCCAAGUAGCGUGAAGGAUGACUGCCCUAUGGGUUGUAAACUUCUUUUAUAAAGGAAUAAAGUCGGGUAUGGAUACCCGUUUGCAUGUACUUUAUGAAUAAGGAUCGGCUAACUCCGUGCCAGCAGCCGCGGUAAUACGGAGGAUCCGAGCGUUAUCCGGAUUUAUUGGGUUUAAAGGGAGCGUAGAUGGAUGUUUAAGUCAGUUGUGAAAGUUUGCGGCUCAACCGUAAAAUUGCAGUUGAUACUGGAUAUCUUGAGUGCAGUUGAGGCAGGCGGAAUUCGUGGUGUAGCGGGGAAAUGCUUAGAUAUCACGAAGAACUCCGAUUGCGAAGGCAGCCUGCUAAGCUGCAACUGACAUUGAGGCUCGAAAGUGUGGGUAUCAAACAGGAUUAGAUACCCUGGUAGUCCACACGGUAAACGAUGAAUACUCGCUGUUUGCGAUAUACUGCAAGCGGCCAAGCGAAAGCGUUAAGUAUUCCACCUGGGGAGUACGCCGGCAACGGUGAAACUCAAAGGAAUUGACGGGGGCCCGCACAAGCGGAGGAACAUGUGGUUUAAUUCGAUGAUACGCGAGGAACCUUACCCGGGCUUAAAUUGCAGAUGAAUUACGGUGAAAGCCGUAAGCCGCAAGGCAUCUGUGAAGGUGCUGCAUGGUUGUCGUCAGCUCGUGCCGUGAGGUGUCGGCUUAAGUGCCAUAACGAGCGCAACCCUUGUUGUCAGUUACUAACAGGUUCCGCUGAGGACUCUGACAAGACUGCCAUCGUAAGAUGUGAGGAAGGUGGGGAUGACGUCAAAUCAGCACGGCCCUUACGUCCGGGGCUACACACGUGUUACAAUGGGGGGUACAGAGGGCCGCUACCACGCGAGUGGAUGCCAAUCCCCAAAACCUCUCUCAGUUCGGACUGGAGUCUGCAACCCGACUCCACGAAGCUGGAUUCGCUAGUAAUCGCGCAUCAGCCACGGCGCGGUGAAUACGUUCCCGGGCCUUGUACACACCGCCCGUCAAGCCAUGGGAGCCGGGGGUACCUGAAGUGCGUAACCGCGAGGAGCGCCCUAGGGUAAAACUGGUGACUGGGGCUA